rnacentral:rRNA from 1 species
GACGAACGCUGGCGGCGUGCCUAAUACAUGCAAGUAGAACGCUGAAGGAGGAGCUUGCUUCUCUGGAUGAGUUGCGAACGGGUGAGUAACGCGUAGGUAACCUGCCUGGUAGCGGGGGAUAACUAUUGGGAACGAUAGCUAAUACCGCAUAAUAGUAGAUGUUGCAUGACAUUUGCUUAAAAGGUGCAAUUGCAUCACUACCAGAUGGACCUGCGUUGUAUUAGCUAGUUGGUGAGGUAACGGCUCACCAAGGCAACGAUACAUAGCCGACCUGAGAGGGUGAUCGGCCACACUGGGACUGAGACACGGCCCAGACUCCUACGGGAGGCAGCAGUAGGGAAUCUUCGGCAAUGGGCGGAAGUCUGACCGAGCAACGCCGCGUGAGUGAAGAAGGGUUUCGGAUCGUAAAGCUCUGUUGUAAGAGAAGAACGAGUGUGAGAGUGGAAAGUUCACACUGUGACGGUAUCUUACCAGAAAGGGACGGCUAACUACGUG